rnacentral:misc_RNA from 1 species
GAAAGUGAAUUCCUCUGAACUGAAAGAAUUUUGAGAUUUGACAGUUGAUUAAGCUCAGAUGGCAAAACCCCAGAAAGACCUUGAGAAUCAAGAUUAAUGGAAACAACAGUAUUACUCGAUUUAUCACAAGUAACUUUACUCCAAUCACAGUAAGGCUUUGAAGCAUCCCAACCAGAUGGUGGCUUAGACAAACCCUUCAGAAAAUUUGACAUGACGGCACUGUCAUCGGAAAAUGUCAAUGAAAUCAAGGUGAAGAAGAAGUUAACAAGAAAAAAUAGUUUGUGGGG